GUUGUACUGACUUAGGGUACUUGCUGUGAUCCAGAAAGAGUAGCAGGCAAAUGCAUCCUGGAGCUCUGAAUCACUAAGAAAAAGCAGGCAGCUUUGUUUUGUUUUUAUUCUUGUUUUAGUUAAAAACGCACUUCCCGCCCUAACUUUUGAAGCUUACACGUGGCACAGAGGGGGAUCGGUUCCAGUUGAUAUGAGCCUGGAAGAAGAGAGGGAGGAAAUAACUUAAUUGCUUUAGACUUCAGUUCAGCUGGAGCCGAGAGGAAAAGAAUCAGUGUCCCUCUUUUGGAAUUCAGCAAGAAGGUCGUGCUCUUGGUGAGGACAGAUCCUCUGCGGAUUUUGUGGAGGAUCUGGCUUGGAAAGGGGAGACUCGCUCCGAGCUCAGCGCAUGUAACGGACAUGGCAUGAGCCGAGGGAGCCUGUGGGGGCAAGAGAAAUGUUCUUCUCCAUUCAUCUGAUUUCCGACAGCAAAGGGGCGAUGCCGGCCGGCGGCCGGGCGCUGCUGGCGCUGGGGCUCCUGG